rnacentral:rRNA from 1 species
AUAAGACGAACCGUGCUAACGUUGUUCGGAAUCACUGGGCUUAAAGGGCGCGUAGGCGGGUAAUCAAGUCGAUGGUGAAAUCCGGCAGCUCAACUGUCGAACUGCCUUCGAUACUGAAUAUCUAGAGGGAAGUAGGGGCGUGUGGAACAGUUGGUGGAGCGGUGAAAUGCACAGAUAUCAACUGGAACUCCGGUGGCGAAAGCGACACGCUGGACUUUAUCUGACGCUGAGGCGCGAAAGCCAGGGGAGCAAACGGG